rnacentral:rRNA from 1 species
GACGAACGCUGGCGGCGUGCCUAAUACAUGCAAGUAGAACGCUGAAGGAGGAGCUUGCUUCUCUGGAUGAGUUGCGAACGGGUGAGUAACGCGUAGGUAACCUGCCUGGUAGCGGGGGAUAACUAUUGGAAACGAUAGCUAAUACCGCAUAAUAGCAGUUGUUGCAUGACAACUGUUUGAAAGGUGCAAUUGCACCACUACCAGAUGGACCUGCGUUGUAUUAGCUAGUUGGUGGGGUAACGGCUCACCAAGGCGACGAUACAUAGCCGACCUGAGAGGGUGAUCGGCCACACUGGGACUGAGACACGGCCCAGACUCCUACGGGAGGCAGCAGUAGGGAAUCUUCGGCAAUGGACGGAAGUCUGACCGAGCAACGCCGCGUGAGUGAAGAAGGUUUUCGGAUCGUAAAGCUCUGUUGUAGGAGAAGAACGAGUGUGAGAGUGGAAAGUUCACACUGUGACGGUAUCUUACCAGAAAGGGACGGCUAACUACGUG